rnacentral:rRNA from 1 species
GACGAACGCUGGCGGCGUGCUUAACACAUGCAAGUCGAGCGGUAAGGCCCUUUCGGGGGUACACGAGCGGCGAACGGGUGAGUAACACGUGGGUGACCUGCCCUUAGCUCUGGGAUAAGCCUGGGAAACUGGGUCUAAUACCGGAUAUGACUCCAUGACGCAUGUUGUGGGGUGGAAAGCCUUGUGCGGCUAGGGAUGGCCCGCGGCCUAUCAGCUUGUUGGUGGGGUGAUGGCCUACCAAGGCGACGACGGUAGCCGGCCUGAGAGGGCGACCGGCCACACUGGGACUGAGACACGGCCCAGACUCCUACGGGAGGCAGCAGUGGGGAAUCUUGCGCAAUGGGCGAAAGCCUGACGCAGCGACGCCGCGUGAGGGAUGACGG